rnacentral:lncRNA from 1 species
CAGCAACUCAUUUUCUCUGGGACCCCUCUCUGCACGGAGAGCUCUUCUCUUUCUUUCGCCUAUUAAACUUACAUGGCCGUGGGACAAUGAACCUCAGGUAUUACCCCAGAGAAACAACAUCGCUUCAUUGAGGGGAAUGCAAAAAUGUAGUAAAGGAAAUUGAGAAUGAGAAGCCAAUAAAGUAGGUAAGAAACAAGGUAGAGUGACAUCAUGGAAGCCAAACAAAGCAAGUGUUUCCAGGAUGAAGGCGUGAUCAACUGGGUCAAAUGUAUGGUGACAGAUCAAAUAAGAUGAGGACUAAUCAUUAAUCAUGGAUUUUAGCAACACUGAGUCCCUGUGGACCUUUACAGGAGAAGUUCUGGUGGAGGGCUGAGAGCAAAAGCCUGGUUGAAGUGAGUUUGAAAAGAUGUGAAAUGGUAAGAAUUAAAUACAAUGAAUAUUUUCCUGGACUUUUGAUAUACAGAUUUCUAUAUUGACUUUGAUGAUAAUCAGCCUCUUUGAGGUAACUGCUAUCCUGACUUUGAUGAGAAUCAUUUUCUUUUUUUCCUCUAUUGUUUUAUCUAUUUACCUUUCAGAAAUUGAGUU